rnacentral:rRNA from 1 species
AACGCGAAGAACCUUACCUGGGCUCGAAAUGCUACGGACCAGCUUAUGAAAGUUUGCCUUCCCGCAAGGGACCGUAGUAUAGGUGCUGCAUGGCUGUCGUCAGCUCGUGUCGUGAGAUGUUGGGUUAAGUCCCGCAACGAGCGCAACCCUUGUCCUGUGUUGCCAUACCGAAAGGUGGAACUCGCAGGAGACCGCCAGGGAUAACCUGGAGGAAGGUGGGGAUGACGUCAAGUCCUCAUGGCCUUUAUGUCCAGGGCUACACACGUGCUACAAUGGUCGGUACAAACCGUCGCAAACCCGCGAGGGGGAGCUAAUCGGAAAAAGCCGGCCUCAGUUCGGAUUGGAGUCUGCAACCCGACUCCAUGAAGCUGGAAUCGCUAGUAAUCGCGGAUCAGAACGCCGCGGUGAAUACGUUCCCGGGCCUUGUACACACCGACAUA